rnacentral:lncRNA from 1 species
GAAGACAGUACGCGAUAGAGGACAAGGCAAAAGGAAUAAACAGCAACUCUACUGUACCCAGGACAAUUAUUGAGGAGCGGGGAGCCGUCCAAGUGUCCAGGCGACAGAAGAGGAGAAUAGUUGAAGGCACCAGAAGCCUUAAGCAUGAAGCAACUCCAGAAGCCUCUGCCGCGACUAUAAAAGGAGGUACCGGGUGAAGCAUUGGAAGCACAGACCGCAGCACCACACUACGACAUCAACCAGAUCAUCACCAAGAAUCACGAAGACCUCCACUCAUACUCCACUCAUGAAGACAUCCACCACCACUCUCUGAGAGAGAAAGAAUUAGCCACCAUACUUUAGAAUCUACCGCUGUAUUACUCCACCUCUGUACUAUCACUACUAGAAUAAAGGGAGGCCGUUGGAGCUCGUCCCUCGGUUUGUAAGGUAAUCAAGGUUUGUGCUAAGUGCUUGGGGUUUCCCGAAAGGGAAAGCCGCAUGUAAGCUUGUCCCGUGGAAAUGGAUUAAGCUGUCCUGGUAGCAUCCCUGCCUUCCUUUAAGCUCGUUCUUAUGGGGCGAUGUCUCUACGCUAGGGACCCUAGAGGAGAAACCUCUGCGCGUGUCGUUCUCGUGUUAGCCCUGGUAGCGGCGUUUGAGGAGAACCCUGUGUGCGCAGAGAAGUGUUCCCUUCGGGUGGAACUGCCUGGGGAGACGGUAGAGCCUGAGUCCUGUUUGAGCGUGGCUAGGGACGGUGAGGGUGCAGUCCGAGCUGGCUUGGUUCUGAAGCGAGCCAGCGAGGCAUGCGGUGAGUACCGAGUAGGACUGUCAGAAGCAUAGCAGCACAACCGGCUGAAUCUUCGGUCUCGCCAACCCGCAAAGAUCCUGAGAAUAGGCUUAAUUAAGGAAUAUACCUAACCACGCACCCGCGCGUGCUCGUAUCCCCCGAAAGCGACCCCGAAUAGUGCGCAAUAGUGCGCAAUAGUGAGUGAAUAGUGGCUGAAUAGUGCCGCCACCCGUAGGUGCUCCACCCACUCCCGGUGAGUGCUCGGGCACUAUUCAUAUUCCUGAAUUUGAAUAGUGAGCUGAAUUUAAAUAGUGCCGCGAAUUUGAAUAGUGUUCGCCGAAUUUGAAUAGUACUGUGAAUAGUAACUCGAAAUUUGAAAUCCGAAAUUUUUCGGAGUCGCUCGUUCCCUCGCCCUCGAUCGCCGAUUUCCCGCACUGGUAUUAUCCCAAAUAAGCAAGAAUGGAUAAAUAGAAUACAAGGAAGUAAAUAUUUCUCAAAAUUUGAUUUAAAAGCUGGGUUUUGGCAAGUAAAAAUGGCAGAAGAAUCAAUAGGUUGGACUGCCUUCACAUGUCCUCAAGGUCAUUUUGAAUGGUUGGUAAUGCCAUUAGGUCUAAAAAAUGCCCCUGCUUUGUUUCAAAGAAAAAUGCAGAAUAUCUUCGGUCUCGCCAACCCGCAAAGAUCCUGAGAAUAGGCUUAAUUAAGGAAUAUACCUAAUCACGCACCCACGCGUGCUCGUAUCCCCCGAAAGAGACCCCGAAUAGUGCGCAAUAGUGCGCAAUAGUGAGUGAAUAGUGGCUGAAUAGUGCCGCCACCCGUAGGUGCUCCACCCACUCCCGGUGAGUGCUCGGGCACUAUUCAUAUUCCCGAAUUUGAAUAGUGAGCUGAAUUUAAAUAGUGCCGCGAAUUUGAAUAGUGUUCGCCGAAUUUGAAUAGUGCUGUGAAUAGUAACUCGAAAUUUGAAAUCCGAAAUUUGAGAGAGUCGCUCGUUCCCUUGCCCUCGAUCGCCGAUUUCCCGCACUGGUAUCAGAGCCGAGGUUGUUAAAAUUUGUGUUUUUGAGGGUUUUUCUAUAUUUAGUCAAGAUUGAAAAACUUCACUAUUUAAAUCUAGAAGUUAAUACAGGAAAGACAGUUAAUACUAAAAAAAAUAUAAAUAUAAGGUGCAGAAUAAAUAGCUCUGAAGAUCAUACUUGGCAUACUUCACACGGUCAGAUCAAUUUAUUAGUUGAUUUAAUACAUAACUUCUAUAUAUCUUGGGGUAAAAGGCAAGACGAUUUAGAAUUAAAAUUUUAAAAACUACAGAAAGAACAUAAGCAUUUAGAAGAGAAUAUUUUAGCCUUGAAUAAUAAUCUAGAAUUAAUCUUGCGAGCAGCAAAAGAAAGUAGAAAUUCUCUAGGAAGAAUAAUUCAAAAUAGUGAUUAUAUUAAAAAGGAUAUAACUCACCUAUAUAAGAAAUUUGAUAAUACUAAUUUUGAGCAUAACAAAGAAAUUGUUCUAUCAUCAACAGGAUUAGUCGAGUUUAAUAGAUCAUUAAACUCUGAAAAAUGGAAAUAUCUGAAAGUCUCUCUAGAAGAGACAAGUCUCUCCAACUAAUAAAUAAAGACAUAAAGCCUUUAAGCUUUAUGGAUAGAUUGAAAGGAGGAUGUGAUGAUAUUGAAAACUUAGAAGAAAUGAUAGAUGUAGAAAGAGAUCUUGAAAGAUAUCAGAGAGAUACCUUAAGAAGGAUAAGACAUCAGCAAAUAUAUCAAAUGGGCUGGUUUGAAAAUAAAAAUGGGCUAUACAGAAUAUCUAGAGAAGUAGAAUUAAGUGUUCUAACAGAACCAGUUCAGCUAAGAAUUGUUAGUAAACAAUUUGAGAACGGGCUAAAAUAUUCUGGCUACAAAUAUAUUCAUCAAGGAAUGUAUAUUAUAGGAAUUAAAGGAAUGACUAGGAAGAAAUUAGGAACCAAAGUUCUAAUAACCUUGUUAGAUAAAAGAUGGGAUUCAGUGAAUAAAGCAGCAUUGGGUUUCCUAGAAGGAGAUAUGAAUGAAAAUAUGUUAAUAACAUACAUAGCUCCAGAUUUAAUAAUGCCAAUAAAAGAAUUUAUAGAUAAAAUGGCAAUAGGGUUUCAGACCAAAGGCUAUGAAGACUUUAAAGGUACAAAUUUAUUAGUAAGUAUAGAAUUUGUAGGAAGGUUAACUAAUAGAAGUGCAACUAAAUACAAGGUAAAUGUAAACAAUGUAAUAGAAAGUAUGCAGUCUAAGGGAAUAAAAUUCAUGAGUCCUUUAAAAAUUAGUUCUGAAGAAAGAGCAGGUGAAGAAUGGAAUAUAAGUGCUUUAAUAGAACCAAAGAUUUUAAAACAACCUAAAGAUUAUGUAAGCUAUGAAAAUAGUAAAGGCAAAACUAGUAUCAGGUUUGUUAAUUACAAAGAAAGAAGUUUAGAUGAUUUAGAAGUUUCAACUUCUGAGUCAAACAUAGGAGAAGCUAGAAGACAUAGUGUAUGUGAAUUCAUGGAGAAAUUAGAUAUUGAUAAUGAAAUAAAACAUUAUGAGAAAAAACUAAGUAAAGUUCAAGAUGAAUACAAUACCUCUAUGAUAUGUGAAUGGUCUGCUAUUAGAGAAAAAGAGCUAUAUUUCAGAAGAGAAUUAUAUAGACUUAAUAAAAUUAAGAAAGAAAGAGAGUUAAAUAAUAAAAAGAUUAACAUGCCGAUAAUAAAACAUGAACCUACUUUGCAACAUGUAAAUGAUAAAAAUAGUAAGAUUCAGAAAGAUUUAGAGAAUAAUAAAGAUAGGGUAAAGGAAAAAGAAGAGGUUGUUAUAAGCGAAGAAGAACAAUGGGAGAUCAAUAAUAAAAUUUUAUUAGAAAGUUAUGAAGAAGAGGAUGAAGAUAUAAUAGAAGUACAUAGUAGUAAGUCAGAAUCACAUAUUCUUUCUUUAAGAAGUGAAGAAUUAUACAAUAAAGAUACUGCUAUAGAAGCCAUGGAUAUAGAUCCUAGUCCAUCUAAAAGAAGACGAGAGCAAGAGAGAGAUAUAAAAAUUGAAGGAGAAACGGAUAGACCAUCUAGAAAACCAGGUAAUUGGCCACCAGAAAAGGAAGAGCCUACAUAUACCUAUAUACCUGGACAAUAUAAGCAUAUGGGUUCAAAAAGAAGAAAGUUUGAAAGGACUGUGCAGUUUCAGAAUUAUAGAAGCGAUGGUGCAAUAUUAAAUUUAGCAGCACACGAUCCUAUUGAUUGGCCAAAUAUUAUAAGCAUAUGGAAAAGCCUAAUAGUCCAAAAAUAUAUACAAAAUCAGCAUAAUAUUGGCAGUAGAGUAGAAGAUAUGAUUACAUAUUUAGAAACAUUCUUAGGAGAAUCAGUUAAGGUUCUAUGGGAACAAUGGGUAGAAACUUAUCCUCAUUAUUAUGAAGAAUUAAAAAGAGCUGGUAGUAACCCUUAUAAUUUUGCAAAUAUCAUAUCAAGUAUUGUUAUAGAUGAAGAUCCAGAAUUAGGUUAUACUGCAUUACAAAAUGAAAGAUUGAAGGAAAUAGAGAAAUUGACUUUAACAAAUUGGAAAGGAAUAAAAGAGUUCUCUCAGCAUUAUUUGUAUAACGCCACAACUGCUAAGCAAGGCUAUAAUAAGAGUAUAGUUGAAAAAUAUUUUAAUAAAUUACCAGAUCCUUUAGGAUCUAUGAUAUUUGAAGAAUAUAAAAAGGAAUCUAAUGGAAGGGAAUAUAAUAUUUCUCAGGCUAUAACAUUUGUUUUUAAGCAACUAAGAAAAAUAUGCACAAGCAUACAAGCUCAAAGGUCAAUGAAGCAAUCAGAUUACAACUUUUGUAAUAAAAUAGUUCAAAUACCAUUGACAUAUGGAGAAGAGAAAUAUAGAAAUAAGAAAUACCCUAAAAAUUAUAAAAAGGGAAAUGUAAAAACAAAGAAAAGAUAUUUCCUAAGGAGAUCAGAUAAUAGAGCUCCUUUUCUUCACAAGAGAAAUGUAAGAAGAUAUAAUCCUAGAAAAAAUUAUGAUAGUACAUGUAGAUGCUUUAUUUGCAAUUCUCCAGAUCAUUUAAGUAAAACUUGUCCUAAUAAGGAUAAGAAGAGAUAUUCUAAUAAGCAAGAAGAGCAAGAAAAGGUGUUAAUUAUAGAUAGUGUUAACGAAAAUAUUCUGGUAUGUGAUGAUGAUAUAAUGGAUGAUGAAUCUAUAUAUUCAAUAAUAGAAACAGAUGAGAUUGAAUAUAAUGAAGAAGAUGAAUCGAGUGAUGAAGAGAUGAACUUGAUUGAAGAACUAGCAGGGUUAAAAAUAGAAAUGAUGGAUCAAGUAAUUCGGGAUCAUAAAAGAGAUGACGUUAAUAUAAAUUGUGUAUUUUGUAUAUAUUAUCAAGAUCCAGGAAAAAGGGCUACUUGCAGUUUAUGUAUAAAACAGGCAUGUAGAUCAUGCUUAGAACAGCCAAGUGACAAGAAAGUAGUCAAUACAAAAUGUGAGGAAAAUAAGAUCAGUCCGAAGGAGGACUCUUCAAAAGAUAAAAGAAAUAAUAAAUAUUUAACCAAUACUCCACACGAGUUUCUUAUCCCUAGGAUAAGUUUUAAGACUGAACAAGUGCUGGCAUAUUUUACACAAGAUAUUAUAGAUCUAAUAUGGAAGAAAUAUGCUGAAAGACAGUAAAAAACAUUUCAGGAUAUACAAAAUUACUUCAUGAGGCUAUAUCAAGGUAUAGAAAGGAAUUUGGGAAUAAUAGUUACUAUAAAUACCUUUCCUUUGCUCCAUCUUGAUGAUAAGUUAAUUGUUAAGCCUCAUCAUAAAUUUAUAAUACUUAAGGCUGAUAUAAACCUAAAAUAUUUUACAAAUAUACAAAGGCAUACAGGAGAAGAUAUUUCUUUACAAGCUAUUAUUGAUCAUGGGUUAGUCCAAGAUAUAAAUCGACGAUCAAGGGCGAGGGAACGAGCGACUCCGAAAAAUUUCGGAUUUAAAAUUUCGAGUUACUAUUCACAGCACUAUUCAAAUUCGGCGAACACUAUUCAAAUUUGCGGCACUAUUUAAAUUCAGCUCACUAUUUAAAUUCGGGAAUAUGAAUAGUGCCCGAGCACUCACCGGGAGUGGGUGGAGCACCUACGGGUGGCGGCACUAUUCAGCCACUAUUCACUCACUAUUGCGCACUAUUGCGCACUAUUCGGGGUCGCUUUCGGGGGAUACGAGCACGCGCGGGUGCGUGAUUAGGUAUAUUCCUUAAUUAAGCCUAUUCUCAGGAUCUUUGCGGGUUGGCGAGACCGAAGAUUCAGCCGGUCGUGCUGCUAUGCUUGUGACAGUCCUACUCGGUACUCACCGCAUGCCUCGCUGGCUCGCUUCAGAACCAGGCCAGCCCGGACUGCACCCUCACCGUCCCCAGCCACGCUCAAACAGGACUCAGGCUCUACCGUCUCCCCAGGCAGUUCCACCCGAAGGGAACACUUCUCUGCGCACACAGGGUUCUCCUCAAACGCCGCUACCAGGGCUAACACGAGAACGACACGCGCAGAGGUUUCUCCUCUAGGGUCCCUAGCGUAGAGACAUCGCCCCAUAAGAACGAGCUUAAAGGAAGGCAGGGAUGCUACCAGGACAGCUUAAUCCAUUUUCACGGGACAAGCUUACAUGCGGCUUUCCCUUUCGGGAAACCCCAAGCACUUAGCACAAACCUUGAUUACCUUACAAACCGAGGGACGAGCUCCAACGGCCUCCCUUUAUUCUAGUAGUGGUAGUACAGAGGUGGAGUAAUACAGCGGUACAUUCUAAAGUAUGGUGGCUAAUUCUUUCUCUCUCAGAGAGUGGUGGUGGAUGUCUUCAUGAGUGGAGUAUGAGUGGAGGUCUUCGUGAUUCUUGGUGAUGCUCUGGUUGAUGUCAUAGUGUGGUGCUGCGGUCUGUGCUUCCAAUGCUUUACCCGGUACCUCCUUUUAUAGUCGCGGCAGAGGCUUCUGGAGUUGCUUCGUGCUUAAGGCUUCUGGUGCCUUCAACUAUUCUCCUCUUCUGUCGCCUGGACACUUGGACGGCUCCCCGCUCCUCAAUAAUUGUCCUGGGUACAGUAGAGUUGCUGUUUAUUCCUUUUGCCUUGUCCUCUAUCGCGUACUGUCUUCUCGUGAUAUUCCGGAUGCUGCUUGGUAUGGUCUUCCACGCCCGAAUGAUUGACGUCGCAGACUUCAAUCAGAACAUCAUGGCAUGUAGUAUUAUUUCGCCCCGGCCGAAUUGUUGUUAACACGUUAACAACACUGGAGAAUUAUUCCUUUGUGUGUCAAAUAUUUUUUUAUGCGAGCUGUAUUUCUAUUCUUCUUCAAUAUCCGGUACCUCUGGUUGCCACAGUUCAUACCAUGAUAGUAAUUCACGAUAUUCUUUUCUUAACUGGCAUUCCAUUCCAUAAUUUGGCUUAAGUAGCCUUCCUACUUCUUUUGAUAUUAUACUAUUCCUUCCAUAAUAUUCUCGUAGAAAUAUUUUUGUUAUUUUGUUUUGAUACAUCAUAUGGUACUCAGUAUUGAAUUUAGUAUUUCCUUCUAUUUCUUUUGCUUCACUGAAACUUCUCCAAUUAUCAUGAUUAUUUUUGGCACGUAUAUCUUCAUAAUUGUACCAUGUUUCUGAAGACCAUAUCGUAGGGAAUUUAUACGGACCUUUUAUAAUAUAUAUAUCAUGACUUGCUGGUCUCAAUGGUAGUGUAAAUUUUGGUGGAUUAGAAAAGUAUUUUAUUUUAUAUUUUCCUUGAACACACGCCAAUCUUUUGCAUGCUUCUUUAAUAGCCUUUCCUAAAUCAGAUUGAAGUAUUUCCUCCAAUGUUCCAUAAAUAUCUCGGACUAACCCAUGAUCAAUAAUAGUUUGUAAAGCAAUAUCUUCUCCUGUAUGCCUUUGUAUAUUUGUAAAAUAUUUUAGGUUUAUAUCAGCCAUAAGUAUUAUAAAUUUAUGAUGAGGCUUAACAAUUAACUUAUCAUCAAGAUGGAGCAAAGGAAAGGUAUUUAUAGUAACUAUUAUUCCCAAAUUCCUUUCUAUACCUUGAUAUAGCCUCAUGAAGUAAUUUUGUAUAUCCUGAAAUGUUUUUUACUGUCUUUCAGCAUAUUUCUUCCAUAUUAGAUCUAUAAUAUCUUGUGUAAAAUAUGCCAGCACUUGUUCAGUCUUAAAACUUAUCCUAGGGAUAAGAAACUCGUGUGGAGUAUUGGUUAAAUAUUUAUUAUUUCUUUUAUCUUUUGAAGAGUCCUCCUUCGGACUGAUCUUAUUUUCCUCACAUUUUGUAUUGACUACUUUCUUGUCACUUGGCUGUUCUAAGCAUGAUCUACAUGCCUGUUUUAUACAUAAACUGCAAGUAGCCCUUUUUCCUGGAUCUUGAUAAUAUAUACAAAAUACACAAUUUAUAUUAACGUCAUCUCUUUUAUGAUCCCGAAUUACUUGAUCCAUCAUUUCUAUUUUUAACCCUGCUAGUUCUUCAAUCAAGUUCAUCUCUUCAUCACUCGAUUCAUCUUCUUCAUUAUAUUCAAUCUCAUCUGUUUCUAUUAUUGAAUAUAUAGAUUCAUCAUCCAUUAUAUCAUCAUCACAUACCAGAAUAUUUUCGUUAACACUAUCUAUAAUUAACACCUUUUCUUGCUCUUCUUGCUUAUUAGAAUAUCUCUUCUUAUCCUUAUUAGGACAAGUUUUACUUAAAUGAUCUGGAGAAUUGCAAAUAAAGCAUCUACAUGUACUAUCAUAAUUUUUUCUAGGAUUAUAUCUUCUUACAUUUCUCUUGUGAAGAAAAGGAGCUCUAUUAUCUGAUCUCCUUAGGAAAUAUCUUUUCUUUGUUUUUACAUUUCCCUUUUUAUAAUUUUUAGGAUAUUUCUUAUUUCUAUAUUUCUCUUCUCCAUAUGUCAAUGGUAUUUGAACUAUUUUAUUACAAAAGUUGUAAUCUGAUUGCUUCAUCGACCUUUGAGCUUGUAUGCUUGUGCAUAUUUUUCUUAGUUGCUUAAAAACAAAUGUUAUAGCCUGAGAAAUAUUAUAUUCCCUUCCAUUAGAUUCCUUUUUAUAUUCUUCAAAUAUCAUAGAUCCUAAAGGAUCUGGUAAUUUAUUAAAAUAUCUUUCAACUAUACUCUUAUUAUAGCCUUGCUUAGCAGUUGUGGCAUUAUACAAAUAAUGCUGAGAGAACUCUUUUAUUCCUUUCCAAUUUGUUAAAGUUAAUUUCUCUAUUUCCUUCAAUCUUUCAUUUUGUAAUGCAGUAUAACCUAAUUCUGGAUCUUCAUCUAUAACAAUACUUGAUAUGAUAUUUGGCCUUAAGCACGAAGCAACUCCAGAAGCCUCUGCCGCGACUAUAAAAGGAGGUACCGGGUGAAGCAUUGGAAGCACAGACCGCAGCACCACACUACGACAUCAACCAGAGCAUCACCAAGAAUCACGAAGACCUCCACUCAUACUCCACUCAUGAAGACAUCCACCACCACUCUCUGAGAGAGAAAGAAUUAGCCACCAUACUUUAGAAUCUACCGCUGUAU